AUUGAACGCUGGCGGCAGGCCUAACACAUGCAAGUCGAACGGUAACAGGAAGCAGCUUGCUGCUUUGCUGACGAGUUGCGGACGGGUGAGUAAUGUCUGGGAAACUGCCUGAUGGAGGGGGAUAACUACUGGAAACGGUAGCUAAUACCGCAUAACGUCGCAAGACCAAAGAGGGGGACCUUCGGGCCUCUUGCCAUCGGAUGUGCCCAGAUGGGAUUAGCUAGUAGGUGGGGUAACGGCUCACCUAGGCGACGAUCCCUAGCUGGUCUGAGAGGAUGACCAGCCACACUGGAACUGAGACACGGUCCAGACUCCUACGGGAGGCAGCAGUGGGGAAUAUUGCACAAUGGGCGCAAGCCUGAUGCAGCCAUGCCGCGUGUAUGAAGAAGGCCUUCGGGUUGUAAAGUACUUUCAGCGGGGAGGAAGGGAGUAAAGUUAAUACCUUUGCUCAUUGACGUUACCCGCAGAAGAAGCACCGGCUAACUCCGUG
rnacentral:rRNA from 1 species